rnacentral:rRNA from 1 species
GACGAACGCUGGCGGCGUGCCUAAUACAUGCAAGUAGAACGCUGAAGGAGGAGCUUGCUUCUCUUGAUGAUUUGCGAACGGGUGAGUAACGCGUAGGUAACCUGCCUGUUAGCGGGGGAUAACUAUUGGAAACGAUAGCUAAUACCGCAUAAGAGUAGAUGUUGCAUGACAUUUACUUAAAAGGUGCAAUUUCAUCACUACCAGAUGGACCUCCGUUGUAUUAGCUAGUUGGUGAGGUAACGGCUCACCAAGGCAACGAUACAGAGUCGGCCUGAGAAGGUGGUCGGCCACCAUGGGAAUGGGACAAGGCCCAGGCUCCUACGGGGGGCAGCAGUAGGGGAUCUUCGGGAAUGGACGGAAGUCUGACCGAGCAAAGCCGGGGGAGUGAAGAAGGGUUUCGGAUCGUAAAGCUCUGUUGUAAGAGAAGAACGAAUGUGGGAGUGAAAAGUUCACACUGUGACGGUAUCUUACCAGAAAGGGACGGCUAACUACGUG